UUUGACCGGGACCUUGUCUGUGAGCGUGGUAGAAGGGAAAGCGUCGCUCUCUGCCUAAUCGGACACACCUGUUGGAAAUUUGUGUCUGAUCCAGGGGGGCUGUGGGCCCCACCCCACGACUGCAUUGCCCCUGAGGAGCCGUGCCCCGGAGACAGGUGGAAUGAAAGGCAUUGGGUUUGGAAUAGUGCCUCCACCAGAUCUGGUCUGUAUUACUGUUGUAAGAGCUGAGGCGGCAUGGCGCACGAUUCUCAGAAUACUGCAUGGAAUGAGUCAUUUAGCCUCCAUGAUGGGCCUUAUUAUCUCUUGUGAUGAAGCAACUGAGACUCAGAGAGAUUAACUGACUUGCUGGAUUUCUACAGCCAGUAGCCCUCUCUCCAGUACUCUCCCCUCUGUUGCCAAUCUGUCAUGGUUUCCCAUGGCUCCCGGUUUCUGGAGGAAACCAGAGCCAACUCCAUCACUCAGCUACUGUCAGGGACCUUCAGGUUCUAGCUCCUCGACACCCCUCCAGGGUUUACUUUUUGCCCUUCCCAUUUCACAUGCAGGAUGUGAUGAAUUGUGUUCAGGGCUUCAAAUGUAUUAUAUUCUCUGUUGCCUCAGGACAUUUGCACAUGUUUCUUCUGCCUGGAACCACCUUUCUCUCUCAUCUCCUGGUGCCGGGGUAAUCACUAUUCAGAAUUUGGGAUAAACUUAGAUCCAGUUUUCUACUUGACUAGAAAUUUAAGGCUGGAUGUGGCCAGACUUUGUCCAUAGAACAUGGAGCCAGAUAUGGAGUGGGUGAUCAUUCUCCACAUCAACAUUCAAGCCACUCUGUGUCUCUGGAAACUCAUGGAACCCAGUCGGAGGGAGUCAUGAACUUGGAAACUGGAAGGAGGAAAAGCAAUGGACGUGCUAUUGUGGUCAUUAAAGGAAAAAGAGAGUGGUGAAAACCAUCAGUGGCUCUUCAAACUUCUGCUUGAGAGUGGGGUAUGCCCCACACACUCACCCACCACGGACAAAAUCAAGCCACAUGGCCGAGCCAAUGGCAGUGGAGCAUGGAUGACUAUCCUUCUUCCUGGAGCUUCCAGUCAAAUUGCAGAGGAUAGGGAUAUAUGCUCUUAAAAGAAGGGUGAGUGAGUUAGUUGUUAAUGGUUAUACAGUCUGCCAAAGCCACUUAGAUAUUACUUAUAAUGUGUGUGAUGUCUAUUGCUAAUUGUGUCCCCUCAAAAUUCACAUGUUGAAGUACUAACUCCCAGGACCUAUGGAUGUGACUAUAUUUCAAGACAGAGUCUUUAAAGAAGUAAUUAAGGUUAAAUGAGUUCAUUGAAGUGGGCCCUAAUUCAUAAUGAGGCUGGUGUCCUUAGAAGAGGAGGAGAUUAGGACACAGAAACACAGAGGGAAGACCAUGUGAAGAGAGCGAGAAGGUGGCCAUCUAUAAGCCAAGCAGAGAGGCCUCAGGAUGAAACCAACCUGCUGACACCUUGAUUUUGGACAUCUAGC